AUUGAACGCUGGCGGCAUGCCUAACACAUGCAAGUCGAGCGGAGUGGCUGACGGGUGAGUAAUGCAUCGGAAUCUGCCCGGUAGUGGGGGAUAACGUACGGAAAGGGGCGCUAAUACCGCAUACUAUUGGAACGGCCGAGGUCGGAUGUGCUAGUUGGUGGGGUAAGGGCUUACCAAGGGGACGAGCCGUAACCGGGCUGAGAGGAUGAUGAGCCACACGGGAACUGAGACACGGUCCAGACUCCUACGGGAGGCAGCAGUGGGGAAUAUUGGACAAGGGGGGAAAGCCUGAUCCAGCCAUGCCGCGGGUGUGAAGAAGGUCUUCGGAUUGUAAAGCACUUUUAGUUGGAAGGCGGUACCUACAGAAUAAGCACCGGCUAACUACGUGCCAGCAGCCGCGGUAAUAC
rnacentral:rRNA from 1 species